UUUAAUCGUUCAAGGGAGGCAGAUGGAAUUUAAGGACUCCAUUCCAGUAUUCCCAACAACUGUCAUGCGUGAGGCUGUAGCAGAGAAGUUCACCUGACACGGUUGUGUGAUGAAUGGGACUGGUGAAGGGAAGGACUUGCUCAGGGGCCCCUCUUCCUCAUGACCUGCCAUCAAGAUCCCACCUUUUAACAUCCAGAGCCUUUUCCAUAAAAUUACUCAUGGAAGCAGCAGAAGUGCUCCUGGAGGGAGAUGUGGCAUGUCUAUUUCCCAUCUCCCUCUGUUCCCUGCUCCCAAGUUCCAAUUCCAGAAAAAAAAUGCAGAAGGUUCAGCUGGUGUUGAAAGAGACUGGAAGAAAGAUCAGAAUCUGGGGAGCCAGAAGAAAUCACAUACGUAGUCCUUCUUAAGAAAUUGGUUAACUGGAAGAAAAGGAUUGAGAUGGACAUUGGUCUGAAGUCAUCAGAACUACUUGUACACUUGACUUGCAGAACCUUGAGCAUCUGCUAUCUCUCAGCAAAGAAGUGACAAUAUAGAAAUAGGCUAAUUUUACAUUCUGUCUCAUAUGUUGCACAUAAAUACCUAAGCAGGGAAGAACUGAGGUGCUGGGGCAAGUCUAAUGUAAAAUUUCUGGAAUCUUAGAAUGAUAAUAUUACUAUAGUAGCACUAAUAUAAAUGAAUGUAUGGCACAGAUGUCACACUUGCAAAUCAGUCAAUAUGCUCAAAUUAUCAAGCUCCAUCACUAGUUAGAUCUAAUGGUUACUGAUAAUGCAAAUGAGAAACAUGAUCUGAUAAGGCCAAAACAUACAUUUUUAACUAUACAUAUGAGUCCAGAUUUGAAUAAAGAAUUAAAUUUGACUACAGAAACAAGUAAAAUUUCUAGUUUAGAACUAAAGCUAUAUUUAACCAGUGUGCAAUUAUUUAAGUAUGUUGUUUUGGCCUGCUAGUUCCAGUACCUGUUCCUAAAGUGAUUGGUAAUAGCACCAAUCAAACAGGACAAAAUAUGCAUUUGUGACCUUUUUUAUCCACAAUAUAAAACUGAAAUUUUGAAGAUAUCUGAACCAUCAAGUUAAAAAUGCUAUCCAUGCAUAUUCAGUUGCUGCUACUUAUAAAUGGUCUGCUGCUAGACACAUCCAUAGCAGUUUUUUCCUUCUUAUUCAGUACUACUACCUGAAGUUGUAAUUGUCUUAAUACCUAAAAUGUGCCAUCAUGAAACCCCAUGAGAUUGACAAAAAUCAUCUCUUUUCAUGACUUUUGGCCAUGAGAAGGUUGCACAUACUGUUGUGAUGAUGCAUAAGACGGCAGGAGGCCUAACUAGUAUGUCAAGUUGUAUUUUAGUGAUGGUAUGGACUGACAUUAUGGCAAAAUGCAUAGCCCCACUUUUUUGACCAUUUAACCUGAUCAACUGCAGGAACCCUUCAGUUUCUGAAUUGCAGCUUACUAGUACUUCUGUAAUUCUCCAGUGGCAGAAAAACAUUUAUUACUAGUAGAAAUACAUUAGCAGAUGCAUUAAUUCAUAUCCAUAAUCACUUCUUAUAUCCCUGAAGAUAAGAGUCUUGGUGUAAAUACAUGAAGUUCCAUCAGUGGAACUUCAUUGCUUUACACCCUCUGAAAAUCUUUACUUCUGGACACUUCCUGACAAAAAUUGCUCAUGCAUACUCAUUAUUGUAUCAGCUGUCAAUACAGCUGCAUUAAUUCACACCAUCUGAGAAUCUGGCCCCAUAAAUUCAGGCUACAUAAUUCUACAAAGGAUUUACAGUGUGGAAUAAAUUGUCAAAAUAAGGCAGACACAUUAACUCCAUUAUCUAUGUAAUUACUGUACAAUAAAGUGACG